UUUGAGCAUAUUUAAACAUUUUCAGUUUUUUCAUAGUUUUUAACAGGUACAUUUGAUUGUUGACACCUUGUCACCAUUUAAUCGAAUGGAAACAGCAUGUAUUACUUUACGUAAAUGUCAGUAAGUGUCAAAUUGCAAAGUUUAAAAGUAUGGCGCGUUUAACUGAAAAACAAAGAAUUGAAAUUUUAAUGAAGGUAGGAUAUGGCGACAAGACUCGAACACAGGCCGAAUUUUGCGAUCUGUUUAACAAUAAGUACCCGGAGAGGCCUAUAUUAGACAUUCGGUAAUAAGCAAAAUUUAAAAAAAAGGUUAGAGAUUUUGGUCAUGUUAGAGACAAAUAUGACCUGGACCGUGCCACGCUUCCAGAAAACAAACAAUUAGAUAUUUUACUCGAUUUACAAGAAAAUCCACAUAAAUCAACUCGACAAGUUGCUGCAGAUCAGUCGGUUAGUAAAUCAUGUGUUGUAAAAUAUUUGCAUAAGAAUAAAUGGCAUCGAUAUAAAAUUCAUUUAAUUCAGGAGCUUAUUAAAAAUUAUCACAUCCACGGAAUAGAGUUUUGCGAAAUAAUGAUGACUAAAUAUAAUGCAAACCCACAAUUUUUAAGUAAAAUUUUCGUUAUUGGGCACCAGAAAAUCCACACUGGAGUAUAAAAACUCACACACAAUUUCCCAAGAAGUUAAACUUAUGGGCAGGAAUUCUGGGCACGUCAAUGGAUUGUAUUCGAUGUUCGGUGCAGAGUAGACGUGUUUUACACCGCUCCUAAAUUACAGCAAAUAUCUACAGUUUAUUGCAAGUUUUAAAAACAUAACAGUUCUCCAGAGUGAUAGGUUAGCAAGACAGAGUUAAUUUCAGAGAAAAAAGUAAAGGUAAUUAGCUGUAAUUAAAAUAUGCCUUUAACCAAAAAUCAAAAAGACGAUAUUAAACAGUGUAUAUCUGAAUGUUUAUACGACAAGAAUUUCAUAGCGACCUUGGCCACUGCAGUUGCCGAAAUUAUUUCGAAGUCAUUCUCCGAGAAAAUAGAGAAACUACAAGCGCAAGUCACCGAUCUAAACACAAAAUUGGAGGAAAGUCAAAAUAAAGUUUCGGAGCUGCAUUUAAAGGUAGACAAUUUAGAACAAAAUUCGAAAGCUAAGCAGCUUAGGCUCUAUGGAUUAAAGAAAUCCAAUGGUAAAAAACUAAAAGAAAAAGUCCAGCAAACCCUUGCUGUUAAAUUGAAAAUAGAUGAUUUAGAUAUAGAUGCGUGUCAUAGAAUAGGACAGAAAAAUCCGACUGACAGCAAACCGCGGCCGGUAAGAAUGUUUUUUAACUCCGUGGCAGCCAGGCAAGAAGUUUUUAAGAAAAAAAUACUUAAAGGAUCCAAUAUGGUCGUUGCUGAAGAACUAACAAACCACAAAUACCAUCUGUUGCAGCUAGCUAAAGAGAAAUUCGGAAAAGAAAACGCCUGGUCAAAAACUGGGAAAAUUUAUGUAACGAAAGAUGGAAAGAGUGAAAUAAUAAAAACUGAGAAACAAUUGGAACAAUCAUUGUAAUUUUUUAGGGGUAAAAAGGUGAAAUGCGUUAACUUAGUAAGAAUUUUUGAUUUUUUUUUCUUUGUCACUUUUGUUCAUAUCCUGUUUUUUUUUUAUAUAUAAGCUUCUGUUUACUUUUAUAUACUAGAUUCCUAAUUUUUUGAUUUCGAUUUUAAAAUUCGUAUCAAGUUAGUAGAGUACCUAUCCUACGUAGCCACAAAUCUGUAACUUAUAUCAACCUAUCGUUUUUUAUUUGAGGGAAAAAAAGAAAAACACUUUUUUGUA
rnacentral:lncRNA from 1 species